CNGAUUUAUUGGGCGUAAGCGAGCGCAGGCGGUUUUUUAAGUCUGAUGUGAAAGCCUUCGGCUCAACCGAAGAAGUGCAUCGGAAACUGGGAAACUUGAGUGCAGAAGAGGACAGUGGAACUCCAUGUGUAGCGGUGAAAUGCGUAGAUAUAUGGAAGAACACCAGUGGCGAAGGCGGCUGUCUGGUCUGUAACUGACGCUGAGGCUCGAAAGUAUGGGUAGCAAACAGGAUUAGAUACCCUGGUAGUCCAUACCGUAAACGAUGAAUGCUAAGUGUUGGAGGGUUUCCGCCCUUCAGUGCUGCAGCUAACGCAUUAAGCAUUCCGCCUGGGGAGUACGGCCGCAAGGCUGAAACUCAAAGGAAUUGACGGGGGCCCGCACAAGCGGUGGAGCAUGUGGUUUAAUUCGAAGCUACGCGAAGAACCUUACCAGGUCUUGACAUACUAUGCAAAUCUAAGAGAUUAGACGUUCCCUUCGGGGACAUGGAUACAGGUGGUGCAUGGUUGUCGUCAGCUCGUGUCGUGAGAUGUUGGGUUAAGUCCCGCAACGAGCGCAACCCUUAUUAUCAGUUGCCAGCAUUAAGUUGGGCACUCUGGUGAGACUGCCGGUGACAAACCGGAGGAAGGUGGGGAUGACGUCAAAUCAUCAUGCCCCUUAUGACCUGGGCUACACACGUGCUACAAUGGAUGGUACAACGAGUUGCGAACUCGCGAGAGUAAGCUAAUCUCUUAAAGCCAUUCUCAGUUCGGAUUGUAGGCUGCAACUCGCCUACAUGAAGUCGGAAUCGCUAGUAAUCGCGGAUCAGCAUGCCGCGGUGAAUACGUUCCCGGGCCUUGUACACACCGCCCGUCACACCAUGAGAGUUUGUAACACCCAAAGUCGGUGGNNNUAACCUUUUAGGAACCAGCCGCCUAAGGUGGGACAGAUGANUAGGGGUGAAGUC
rnacentral:rRNA from 2 species